UGAGAGGGACUGGGAAUGAAAUUGGAUAGGGUGGGGGGAGACUGGAAGAGAGGGGAGGUCUGUGAUUGGACUCAAAAGGAUUUUGAAUGGACUGGGAGGGUGUUACUGUCGAGGCAGGAUGGGAAUGAGAAGACUAACUCAGAAGGCUGUGAGAGUAAAGCUCCGGUUUAUUCAAAAUACCCUGGUCUUUAUACAGAGCUCCAUGAGGACCAAAUCCAUUGGUCCUGAAGUGAAAACAGCCACACCAUUGGUGCAGAGUGCUUGACGCACAGUGAUAGAACUUAACUAUAAACAAUUGUGUCUCUACCUUCAACCAAUAGAAAGGUGUAACCAUCACAGCAAGACCCUCACUGAGCACCGGGACUGGGACCGGACUGCCCCUCAAACCCCAGGAAUCUCCCGGGUACUGGGAUCCCCUGGGAUCCACCGGGCCCCCCCUCGUGCACCGACCGCCCCCGAGCACCAGGCCCAGACCCCCCUUUGUGCCCCCCACCCAUCACGGGGUUUCUGCCCCCUACCCUUUGACCCCCCAGAGCCGCGGGACCCCCGGGAACAGCGCCGGGACCGGGGGGGCCUAGGGAUGUGAGAAAUGCAUUCCUAAAGGAUUCCCAAAACCUGGCAGAAAGCUCAUACUGCCUUGGACUUGUCCAUGCAAACUCUGAGAUUUUAUUGUGCCAGCGAGCAGCUGCAAGGAAUUAUCAAUAAUCAAUAUCAGUAUGAGCACCUGAGCAAAAUGCUGGUGGUCAAUAGGAACCUGCAAAAGGCAAUAGAGAAAUGCAAAAGCCAGUAAAGAAAUGCAAAAAGCCAACAGAGAAAUGCAGAAGCCAGUAGAGAAAUGCAAAAAGCCAAUAGAGAAUUGCAAACGCAUUCACAGUGUUAGAAAUGAGAAGCUUGACUCAGCCAAUAUAUCAAGCAGCAAUUCAAUUUAUUAAUUUAUUAAUUAAUAUGGUAAUGUAUGAGCAAAGACAGCACUGGGUACAGUGGUGGGGGUUUCCCCCCCCAGCUGCACACUGAUUGCUGAGCUUGCUGGUAUUUAUUGAUCAUAUUCAUGCAUAUUCAUAAACUUUUCUCAGCAGUUUCUAUUUCCAAUUUUUGACGUCACAAUUCUUUACUUCAGGAUUGUAAAUCUAUGAUGGUUAUGUUUAGUUCCUGUGAAAAUGCAUAUUUUAUGAUUGGAUUUUCAUAAAUAUUACAAUUAAUAUUUUCUGUGUAAUAUUAGAAAGUUAUGCUGUGUUAAUUCUCUUAAGUAGUGUGUUAAUAUAUUUUUAGGUUAUAACACAAUGUUAAAAUCAAAACUAUGCUAUGUAAGAUACUUUUUAACCAGCUUAAGAAAGAGGUGAGAUAAUCAAGAAAUUCUUCACACAGAGAAAAUAGUGACAGGGCACAUAAAGAGUUACAGCCCCCUUA